AACUUUCAACAACGGAUCUCCUGGUUCUGGCAUCGAUGAAGAACGCAGCAAAAUGCGAUAAGUAAUGUGAAUUGCAGAAUUCAGUGAAUCAUCGAAUCUUUGAACGCACAUUGCGCCCGCCAGUAUUCUGGCGGGCAUGCCUGUUCGAGCGUCAUUU
rnacentral:rRNA from 2 species